GGCUUCGUAGUCGGCGCUUGCGCAGGGAACUCAGCGCUGAGACUGUCUAAAGCCCCAGGAAAAAUGGUGGAAAAUUCACUGCUGCCAGGAAGAGCGAUUUAUGACUUUGUGCUUCUCUUAAGCUCCCAAUUUGGCUUCAUACUUUACCUCGUGUGGGCUUUUAUUCCUGAAUCUUGGCUAAACUCCUUAGGUUUAACCUAUUGGCCUCAAAAACAUUGGACAGUUGCAUUAUCUCUCUACCUCCUUAUUACUAUAGUAAUUGACUAUGUGCUCUUGUUUGGGAUUAACAUGAUGAGUACCCCUUCACUCAAAUCCAUUCAUACAAUCACAGACAACUAUGCUAAAAAUCAACAGCAGAAGAAAUACCAAGAGGUGGCCAUUCUAGCAUUAAGAGUUAUUUCUACUAGUGAAGUAAACCAAAUGUUAUUUCUUGCAGCCAAAGACUUUUACACCAAAAACUGAAAUGUAUGU